UUGCUUCAGCACAUACACUAAAGUUGGAACACAGAGAUUAGCACGGCCCUUGAACAAUGAUGAUAUGUAAAUUACUGAAGUGUUCCAUAUUGCU
rnacentral:snRNA from 1 species